rnacentral:tRNA from 1 species
GCCCUCGUAGUUUAACGGAUAGAACACAGCCCUCCGAAGGCUGAGAUAGGAGUUCAAUUCUUCUCGAGGGCA